GACGAACGCUGGCGGCGUGCUUAACACAUGCAAGUCGAACGGAAAGGCCCUGCUUUUGUUGGGUGCUCGAGUGGCGAACGGGUGAGUAACACGUGAGUAACCUGCCCUUGACUUUGGGAUAACUUCAGGAAACUGGGGCUAAUACCGGAUAGGAGCUCCUGCUGCAUGGUGGGGGUUGGAAAGUGUCGGCGGUUGGGGAUGGACUCGCGGCUUAUCAGCUUGUUGGUGGGGUAGUGGCGUACCAAGGCUUUGACGGGUAGCCGGCCUGAGAGGGUGACCGGCCACAUUGGGACUGAGAUACGGCCCAGACUCCUACGGGAGGCAGCAGUGGGGAAUAUUGCACAAUGGGCGGAAGCCUGAUGCAGCAACGCCGCGUGCGGGAUGACGGCCUUCGGGUUGUAAACCGCUUUCGCAUGUGACGAAGCGUGAGUGACGGUAAUGGGUAAAGAAGCACCGGCUAACUACGUG
rnacentral:rRNA from 1 species